rnacentral:lncRNA from 1 species
GCGGAUAUGGUGGUUACAUGGGUUCACCAGGGUUGGUUGAUGAUUUCGAUGCUGUUUUUGGACACGGGAAAAGAAAAGGUUUCGGUAUUAAGAUGUUUGGUGACCUCUGGAAGAAGAAGGGCCACAAUUAAGUGUCAUGUUUUUCCAGCUAAAUGGUCGCUCGCCAUUUUAUGUUUAUUGGCUAAUGCAUGAAUCUUCUUCUUGGCAUCUGGCCAAAACUAAUACUACUUAUGUUGAGUUUAAAUUUAUGUGUUAGCAGUAUCUUAUUUCUUUCUAGUCUUAGCUUGAUGCCUUAACCUGUCAUUCAGGGAAAUGCCUUUAGAUCCAUAGUUUUGGGCGUUUUUUGUGUGGUGGAUGACGAAAUUCUGGUGCAUUGCUUGAGAUUAGUUUUUUGAGCUAGAGUCUAUUAGAAACAACCUCUCUAUCCUUCCCAUAGAGGUAGGGGAAUGUUUGCCUACAUUCUACUCUCCUCGGACUCCACAAUGGGAUUACACAAGCUUUGUUGUUGUUGUUGUUGUUGCUUGAGACUGCAUGCAACACCCAUUCGAAUGUCAACACUUACAUAAAAUGUUAAUCCACAUAUUAGUUUAUGCAGAAAAUACACUAGACGUGAAAUGACACUAGUUGGAGAACCUUGUUAUCAAUGAAAAUGAUUGAAAUUUUGUAUUAAGGUUUAAUUUCACUAAUGACUUUUGCCCAUUGUCAGCUAUUAGAUCACAAGAAGUGACAUUCUUGAGUUCCACAAGAAAUGUAUAUAAACUAAAUCACAGUUUUAGUUUAAGCAAAAGGAGGUAAGCAAAUAAAUGAGGAAGAGAUAGUUUAACAUUUAGCCACAAAAACUUAAACAACAAGGCAAAGUAAAGUUAUCUUCUUAAUGUUUGAAGAUCAAAAGAGAUGUACAUCAGGAGAAAGUGCAGCACUUGUCUAUGAAAUUUAACUUCAUUGACAUAUAUAUUUUUAAUGUUAGCAUAUCAAACAUAUAGCAUAUUUGAAGCAUAUUGCAAUCUAUAUAUUGACUAAGAGGUAAAACGAUCAAGAGAAACUACUACUUCUAGAACUUUCUAAAUCGAAAAACAUGAAUGCAAGCGAUUAAUCACAAAUUGACAGUAAAACAAUGCUUAAACACAAGAAGCAUAACUCGAGCUUAACUUGAACCUUGAUUACACUUAUCUUAAGGCAAUAAUAAAUAAAUAAAUAAAUAAAAUGCUUAAAUUGAAUAAACAAAGAAGAAAGCAUGAAAGAUCUCACUUCCAGAACUCAAAUAAAGAAAGCGGUUAAUCAUCCCCUCAUAAUUAUUGAAUUUAUAUGCAAAAUUUAGACACACACAAGCUAAUCUCGACAGAAUAGUGGGAAAAAAAAGCCAAGAGGAACCAGUAAGUUAAGAAAAACGAAACCAUUAGAAUUUUACAAGAGGAGGUUUAUGGGAAGAGGAGGAAAAAUAAAGAAGUGAAUAACCUGUUUCAGUUAGCUACAUUUUUCAAAAUAUAACAGAUAUCAAACACCCAAGUGUAACAAAUUUUGGUCAAAAUGCAUCCUGUGAUCUGCCCAAAUGUAGCAGUGAAUCAGUCUCAAAUCCGUCCCAAACGACAUAGCUAAGAUAAAUAGCAGCAAAUACUGGGAAUAGGGGAAAAUUAUUGCAACAAAGUAUAUCAUACCAUGAUCAAACAGAGAAAAGAAGAUGAAGUUGCGCCAGUGGUCAUAAGUCAUAACAAUGAAGAAAAUCUGAGAUACUAGACACGACGGUGACGGAAUCACCACAAGACAUAACUUGCAAUUUGUUAUUGGAAUCAACAGUUUAAACAGUCUCAGAAUUACUAGCUACAGGUAAUAGCCAUCAGAAUAAACUUAAAUCAAAUAACAUCAAGUCUUUUCUAUCAAGGCAAAAUUAACCACUGUGUACUAAUCUCACCAAAGAGACUAAAUCAAAAGCAAUUGAACUUUAACAAAGCAAUUGAAAAUUUUCAAAAUAACCUAGAAGACUAAAUCAUAAGAUAAUCAUA